rnacentral:rRNA from 1 species
UGAGGAAUCUUCCACAAUGGACGAAAGUCUGAUGGAGCGACACCGCGUGAAGGAUGAAGGUCUAACGAUUGUAAACUUCUUUUCUGAGGGAGCAUAAUGAGAGUACCUCAAGAAUAAGGGACGGCUAAAUACGUGCCAGCAGCCGCGGUAAUACGUAUGUCCCAAGCGUUGCCCGGAAUUACUGGGUGUAAAGGGUUCGUAGGCGGUUUUAUAAGUUGGAUAUGAAAGACCAGAGCUCAACUCUGCGUUUGUGUUCAAAACUGUAAAACUAGAAUUAGGGAGAGGUUAGCGGAAUUCUGAGUGUAGGGGUGCAAUCCGUAGAUACUCAGAGGAACACCAAAAGCGAAGGC